rfam:Myotis davidii contig13682, whole genome shotgun sequence.
GGCGGUUCACGGGUGAAACAGCCCAGAAUCAGGCUCCCUCCUCUCUGGUUCCGGGUGCAUCACCCGAGAACCGCA